UGCACUGCGACCUGGAACAUCCAUAUAUUCAGAGAUUCUUCUUGUUAUUCAUUGUGCGCCAAACCUUUCCUUAGGCCUACUGUGAGUUGGCCGUGGAGGAGCCAGAGGAAUCUAUUUUUUCUCGCCUGCUUGUAGUAGAAAAAAAUUUGUCGAUUGGUUCAUCACAAUCCAAUAAUGCAGGAGUGCUCUCCGUCUUAGGGAAGGGGGCGCAGGAUCCCUGCAACUAGUCCGGGGAGAGAAGUCAAGAAAAGAUGGCUCAGGCCGACGAGUUUGCAUAGAGAUAAGGGGAAAGCAAAGGGAAAUUACUAUGUGACCGUGUGAUGGGCGGAGGGGGGCAGGUGGCGAGUGGUUGGGCGUCUGAAGGGCUGACUUUAGCUGGAAGACCUUGGAAAAGCGAAGUUGUUUAAAAUUUUGGAUACAGUAACGUUAUUUCAAGGGAUCCAAGAAAUACCUCCCGGAUUCUUUCUGUAUCAUAAUGGUAAUGUAUACAAAUACCAGGUCUGUCUUCUGCAAUAUACCUCUCGAACUUUCCAUCCAACGCCCGUAUUUUGCUGAGGCUUCAGCCUACUAUACUCCUCUGCAGCAGAAGGCCCUGAUCCUGGGGCCAAUCCCAGAGAAGGCAAGAGAGCACUACUCCAAAGGGAACCCGGGAGCUGUCGGUAGCGCUGGAGGCCUGCGACCCCGCUCGCACUAGAACCGACAAGAGGACGCGGCCUGUUUGCACGAGAUCCAGCUGCCAGCCCCUCGAAUGUUCAAGCGCGCGACAGCGGCGGCGCCCACGGUCGGAGGUGUCAGGUCUGCAGGCUGCGGAGGAUCCUGCGGGUAGCAAAGUGAGGGCGCAAAGUGAGGGCGAGUUCCUCUGCGAACCCAGCCGACAACUAGAAUAUGCAUCACUGUUAGAACCAUCACCUUGCAGCUAGCUUGGACACCAUUAAAAGGGCUCAUCAGCUGCGGAUGGAUAGAAAUUUCUGAUACUUGUGAAGACAGAGAUUCAGGGAUUCUACCUGGAGCUACACCCUCCAGAAGCCCCUACUUGGCCCCUGCACACCCAGCCAAUUACAACGUGGGCAGUGUGUGGUGUUUCUUGGCAACUGGAACACAGACUUCUCCAGCAGCUUCACAGGUCUCUUGUCCUCAGUGAGCUGAAGACCACAGAAGCUGGCUACUGAAGAUGCUGUCCAAGUGAUAGAGAUCCUCCUUGGCCCUGCUUAUUAGCACAUUUACCACAGAGCAGUAACUGAGUGCUGGCUGUUACCCAUUCUUGCUUACUACCUGCAGGAGCUACAGAGGGAUUUGUCAGACCCCAUUUUACUAAGGGCCACACUCUAAAGAUCUCCACAGGAGAUUGCCCAUAGAAGGGUGGCCUGCCUUAGGAUCUCUACUGCCUUAGGUCAUAUGUGGACACCAAUAGGGCCCAGAGGAUCAAUAUCUCUUCCCCUACCUGUAAUCCACAUAUUAAGUAGAAAAUUUUGUCUCCUGCCAUUUUUUGUUCUUUGUUUGUUUGGUAGGAAGUUUUAACUACUGCUUCAAUUCUUUUAGUAGUUCGAGAACUAUUCAUGAUUUGUUUUUCUUCUUUAGUCAAUUUUGGUAAGCUAUAGUUUUCUAGGAAUUGGUCCAUUCCCUCUGUGUUCUCAAAUUUAUUGGCAUAAAGUUUCCUUAUUUUUUAAUUCUCUGCUGUAUAUAACCUGUAAUUAUGUCUCCUUUUUCAUUGCUAAUAUUGGUUAUUUGUGCCUUCUCACUUUUUUUCUUGAUCAAUAUCACCAGAGGUUUGUCUCUUUUAUUAGUCUUUUCAAAGAAUCAACUUCUGGCUUUGUUGCUCCUCUCUAUUGUGUCUUUGUUUUCUAUUUCUUUAAUUUCUGCUCUUAUCUUUUUUGAUCUCUUUCCCUCCACAUUUUUUGGAUUUAUUCUGUUGUUCUUUUUCUAAUUUCUUAAAUUGGACACUGAGCUCAUUAAUUUUCAGCCUCUCUUGUUUUCUAAUUUGUGCAAUUAAGGAUAUAAAUUUCCCUCUAAAUACUGCUUUUCUUCAAGUUUAGACAUGUCAUAUUUCAUUAUACUUUGGUUCCAAGUACUUCAACAUUUCCAUAAUGGUUACUUAUUUAAUCUGUGAGUUAUGUAGAAGUGUGUUUUUAAACUUCUAAUUGUUUGAGUUUUUAAAAUUUAUCUCUUUGUUAUUGAAAUCAAUUUUAAUUGCUUUAUGGUCAGAAGAUGUGUGUGUGAUAAUAGCUCUUUAAAAUUUAUUGAGACUUGCUUAGUACAUGAUCAAUAUUUUUUAAUGUUUCCUACAUGCUUUAUAAGAAUGUAUGUUUUCUAAUUGUUGAAUACAGAGAUAAGUCUAUUAUCAAGUUGUUAAUUGUACUGUUCAAGUUUUCUAUAUCUAUACUGAUUUUGUGGUCAUGAUAUAUAAGUAAUUGUAAGUGGUAUAUUAAUAUUCAACUAUGAUGGUAGAUUUGUCUAUUUAUCCUUGUAGUUCUUUUUAUAAUUUUAUACAUUUUGAGGAUAUUUCAUUAGGAAUAUUCAAAUUAAUAAUUGUUAUGUAUUCCUGGUAAAUAUGUAAUGACCCUCUCUUCCUGGUAAUGCAUUUUUUCUUGAAGUCUAGUUUAUCUCAUAGUAAUAUAGCAGUGCAAGCUUUUCUUUUUGCUAGGAUUUGUGUGGUAAAUAAUUUUCCAUCAUUUUAUUUUUCAACAUUGAGAAGGGCAUAUAGCUGGACCUUUAUAUCUAAUCUGGUGAUCUGUGUCUUUUAACGGGCAAGUCUCAUCUGUUUAUAUUUGCUGUGAUAUUUGGACUUGUUUCUGUCAUCACAGUUUUCUAUUUCCUACCAACACCUUUUCUAUGAUUCAUUUUUCUCUUUUCUUGCCUGCUUUUUUAGUUUUGAGAUUUGUUUGCUUUUUUAUUCAACAUUUUCCCUCCCUAGUAUUUGGAAUGCACAUAUUCUUUUUCUAUUCUUUUUGUGGUUAUCCUUCAAAUUUUACCAUACAUAUUUAACUUAUAAGGUCUAAAGUUAAACAGAAUUUUAGCCUCUUUCUUGAAGAAUGCAGGAAACUUAAACUCUAGUCAUUCCUCUUUUGACCACAUGCUAUUGUUUUGAGUAUGUUAGUGUGUUCUUUUUUUUUUCUAACCCCACUAUUCAUCAUCACUAGUAUUAUUUUAUAUAGACAGUAUUUGUUUGGAUUUACAUGCAUACAUUCUUACAUCUCAGACCAUCAUUCUGGGAUCAUUUUCUUUCAUUCUUAAUACAAUGUUCCAAUGUUCUUUGAGUACAUGUCUCUUGUUAAAUGCUUCAAGUCUUUGUUAUAUUUAAAUGUCUUUAUACUCAUUCUUAAAAGAUAAGUUUUUAUAGGUAUUUAAAAGUCUGCUGUCAGUCUAAUGUCUGUUUUUUGUAGGUGUUUUUGUUUUGGCAACUGGAACACAGAUUUCUCCAGUAGCUUCAUUUUUCUCUCUUUUCUUGCCUGCUUUUUUAGUUUUGAGAUUUGUGUGUGUGUGUGAUAAUAGCUCUUUAAAAUUUAUUGAGACUUUUUGUCUGGCUACUUUUAAGAACUCUUUCCUCUUUCUCACUCCUUUGUAUUUUUAGAGAUAUGCAGAGGCUUCUCCAGUUUCAUUCUAAUAUUUUUGGGCAUGGAUUUCUUUUCUAUUUAUUCUACUUUGGAAGUGUCCUUCAUGCAUCUAUAUUCAUGUUUUUCAUAAGUUCUAGAAAAUUCUCAGCCAUUGUUUCUUCAUAUAGUGCCUUUCAUUCUUUCUAGAUUUUCUUUCUCAGAAUCCUGUUAGUCAUAUUUGGACCUCCUCAUUAUCUCUUUCAUCUCAUAACAUCUCAUUGACAUUUUCUAUCUCUUUGUUUUCCUCUGCUUCAUUCUUGAUAAUUUCUUCAAAUGUAUCUUUCAGCUUACUGAUUCUCUCUUUAGCUAAGUCUGAUUUGCGGAUUAAUCUGUCCACAGAAUUUUUUUUCAACAGUUGGAUUUUCAUUUGUCCAUUUCCUAAUCUGCCUAGUCAUCCAUAGUAGUCUCUUGUUGCUAAUCUUUGUGGUUAUGUAUAUUAUUUCUUUAAACAUUUUAUACAAUUUUUGUUCAACAAGUAAUUGCUGUUUGCACAAGUAUGACAUUAUGAAUAUUUUUCACACCUAAACCUCAUAGUAUACUCUGAUUAUGUAUUUUUUUGUGUAUCUUCUUUUUGUUUUCCUAGUAAUUGUCUGGUUUUUCUUUCUAGUGUUACCAUUACUGAUUCUUCUCUGAAAUUCCCUUUAAAAUCCAUAUCAGAUAAUUUCCCUCCUCUCCUCAAAAUUCUCUCAUGACCCCGAGCUUCCUCAGAAUAAAAGGCAAAGCUCUCACCAUGACCCAAAAGUCUCUACACAAUCUGGUCCGUCUCCCCUCUUUGACCUUGUCUCCUAUCACUCUCCCUAUCACUCACUCUUCUCCAGCCACACUGGCCUCCUUACUGUUCCUCAAACAUGUCAGGUACUCUCCCCUCUUUGACCUUGUCUCCUAUCACUCUCCCUAUCACUCACUCUUCUCCAGCCACACUAGCCUCCUUACUGUUCCUCAAACAUGUCAGGUACUCUCCAUCUUCAGAGCCUUUUGUACUUGCUCUUCUCACUACCUGGAACACUCUUCUUCCCAGAUAGUCUGAUGACUUGCCCACCCACAUCCAAUAUGCUUAAAUGCCACCUCCCUAUAGAAGCAUUCCCUGACCAGCAUAUCUGAACUAGUCCCAUUCACUAGCACUUUCUGUCCCCUUGUCCUACUUUAUGUUAUGUUUGUCUAAAAAGCACUGAUAACCACCUGACAUAUUUUAUAUUUAUCUAUUGUGAUUAGUGUUUGUAUCUCCCCAAUAGAUUGUAAACUCCACAAAGCAGGGACUGUUGUUCACUGUUGUAUCCUCAGUGCCAAGAAAAACAAUGCAUAGUAAUAUUUAGUAGACAAUAAAUAUUUGUGAAAUAAACUGAACAAAUGAAUGAAUGAAUGAUAGUGAAAUGCAUUGAGAAUUAGACUAGUCAUGAAGGCUUUUUCAUGCCAUGCUAAGGAGCUUGGAUAUCGUUGUUCAGAUGGGUGGGGUAGUGAGAAUAGCUUCUGGGUUCUUUUGAGAAGCAAGUUCACAGUUGGUAGGGUGGUGACACAGCUGCAUAUUCUCUCUGACUGUGUCUGUAUAUCCUGGGGCUCCUGAAGGUACACUUGCCUCUUUCUCAAACAACACUCAAACCUGCUGUGUUGUCACCUCCCUGUUACUUGGUGUAGCUCUACCCUGGCUCUACCUGAUCCUUCUGAUCCUCGCUGGGAUUCCCUUUCUCCUGCCUUGUGUGGAACUGUUUCUUGGUCCCCAGACCAAGCAUAUCACCCCAUUAGACUUUUUUCUGUGGUACAUGGUGGGGGUGAUGGUGGUACAGAAGUUGUACAGCCUGUCACACAGUGAGUGAUAUUGUAGCAGUGGACACUAGAUAGGUAAGUUUCAACUCAAAAAUGCCUUCCAUUGUCAAGGCUGCAACAGGUUGUGAGAUCUGAGUCGUGACUUUUCCCCUAAGCCUUUUGGGAGGAGCAUGGCUCCAGUGUUUCUGCCUUCCCAUGACUGUUUGGAUACUAAUUCUGUUGUCUAAUGUUUAACCUACUUGCCUAGUUGUUUGUCACCCGCUAAUUUCAUUGGAAUACCAUCAGUAUACAUAGGGCCCUGGAUAUGCUGCUGGAGACCUUUUUCUGGGCCAGCAUGAAUUCACAAAUCAUUAUCAGUGUAAUCCAACUAGAUAUAACUUCAGUUUAGCAAAAUUGACUGACCACCUACUAUGUGUUGGAUCUCCUUCCCUGCACUAAGGACACAGAGAUGGACAAAAUGUGUUCCCAGACACAGAACCAUAACUUCAGUGUGACCAGUGCACUAACAGUAAUGGAUAAAAGAGACUGUAAGAACCCCUAAGGAACAUACAGUCCAGCUCAGGGAUCCAAGGAAGGUUUCUUAGAAGAGAUGACAUAUGAAUUGAGUAUUAAAGUUAGGGUUAGGGUUCUUAGGGUUGUUAGGUUAGGAUUAGGGUUAGGCCCACUGCCUAGGUUCAAAUCCCGGAUCUGCCAUGUCAGAGCUGGGCAAGUCACUUAACUUCUGUAUUCUUUAAUUUCACCUUCUAUAAA